AAGAGUUUGAUCAUGGCUCAGAUUGAACGCUGGCGGCAGGCCUAACACAUGCAAGUCGAACGGUAACAGGAAGCAGCUUGCUGCUUUGCUGACGAGUGGCGGACGGGUGAGUAAUGUCUGGGAAACUGCCUGAUGGAGGGGGAUAACUACUGGAAACGGUGGCUAAUACCGCAUAACGUCGCAAGACCAAAGAGGGGGACCUUCGGGCCUCUUGCCAUCAGAUGUGCCCAGAUGGGAUUAGCUUGUUGGUGAGGUAACGGCUCACCAAGGCGACGAUCCCUAGCUGGUCUGAGAGGAUGACCAGCCACACUGGAACUGAGACACGGUCCAGACUCCUACGGGAGGCAGCAGUGGGGAAUAUUGCACAAUGGGCGCAAGCCUGAUGCAGCCAUGCCGCGUGUAUGAAGAAGGCCUUCGGGUUGUAAAGUACUUUCAGCGGGGAGGAAGGUGUUGUGGUUAAUAACCGCAGCAAUUGACGUUACCCGCAGAAGAAGCACCGGCUAACUCCGUGCCAGCAGCCGCGGUAAUACGGAGGGUGCAAGCGUUAAUCGGAAUUACUGGGCGUAAAGCGCACGCAGGCGGUCUGUCAAGUCGGAUGUGAAAUCCCCGGGCUCAACCUGGGAACUGCAUUCGAAACUGGCAGGCUUGAGUCUUGUAGAGGGGGGUAGAAUUCCAGGUGUAGCGGUGAAAUGCGUAGAGAUCUGGAGGAAUACCGGUGGCGAAGGCGGCCCCCUGGACAAAGACUGACGCUCAGGUGCGAAAGCGUGGGGAGCAAACAGGAUUAGAUACCCUGGUAGUCCACGCCGUAAACGAUGUCUACUUGGAGGUUGUGCCCUUGAGGCGUGGCUUCCGGAGCUAACGCGUUAAGUAGACCGCCUGGGGAGUACGGCCGCAAGGUUAAAACUCAAAUGAAUUGACGGGGGCCCGCACAAGCGGUGGAGCAUGUGGUUUAAUUCGAUGCAACGCGAAGAACCUUACCUGGUCUUGACAUCCACGGAAGUUUUCAGAGAUGAGAAUGUGCCUUCGGGAACCGUGAGACAGGUGCUGCAUGGCUGUCGUCAGCUCGUGUUGUGAAAUGUUGGGUUAAGUCCCGCAACGAGCGCAACCCUUAUCCUUUGUUGCCAGCGAUUCGGUCGGGAACUCAAAGGAGACUGCCAGUGAUAAACUGGAGGAAGGUGGGGAUGACGUCAAGUCAUCAUGGCC
rnacentral:rRNA from 1 species